rnacentral:rRNA from 1 species
AGAGUUUGAUCAUGGCUCAGAACGAACGCUGGCGGCAUGCCUAACACAUGCAAGUCGAACGAGACCUUCGGGUCUAGUGGCGCACGGGUGCGUAACGCGUGGGAAUCUGCCCUUGGGUUCGGAAUAACAGUUAGAAAUGACUGCUAAUACCGGAUAAUGUCUUCGGACCAAAGAUUUAUCGCCCAGGGAUGAGCCCGCGUAGGAUUAGCUAGUUGGUGAGGUAAAGGCUCACCAAGGCGACGAUCCUUAGCUGGUCUGAGAGGAUGAUCAGCCACACUGGGACUGAGACACGGCCCAGACUCCUACGGGAGGCAGCAGUGGGGAAUAUUGGACAAUGGGCGAAAGCCUGAUCCAGCAAUGCCGCGUGAGUGAUGAAGGCCUUAGGGUUGUAAAGCUCUUUUACCCGGGAUGAUAAUGACAGUACCGGGAGAAUAAGCCCCGGCUAACUCCGUG